CAGGGACCAAAAGGGGGGCUUUCGUCAUGGGGCCAGACAGACAUCCUCAAGCAAAAUAGAGAGAUGCAUCCAGGCCACCCACUAGGAGGUGGAAAAUCGUACGAAGAGGUGGCUGUACCUGGCAGCAGACUGAGAUGGGGUGAGGAAGAGAAGCACAGACCAAGAACGGAAUGUCAGACAUUUGCCCCUUUUUUAUGCCCAGCACACACAGACACACACACACACACACACACACACCAGCAUAUAAACAUGCACAUAGACACAGGCGCACGUGCACACACAUACACGCACUCUCAAACAAGAUGAGUCUCUGGUGAUGUUGGCAAAUAAUCUGAAUCGAUACACACGGCAAUGAAUCCACCAUCGUGCCCCACCUACGCGAGUCCUGUCCUUCAGCAUUGACUUUCUCCCCAGGUGUGGUGUGCCUUCAUCCGAACCACAAUGGCAUCCCAAGCAGCAACAAAUACCUGCACGCAUGCAUGCUACGGUACACACACAAACACACUGGACUGUGAACUAGGUCAGACACACACACAUGCUCAAAGUAGCCAAGAUCGAAAAGGCUGCAUCGGUGGCUUGACUGCAUCCAUUUUUUGGAGGAACACCUUUGUCAAUUUUGAGGAACUUUGUUGUGGGAAGAUAUUUUAAAAUGUUGAUAGUCAGACUCUUGUAUACCCAUUCGCUUCACUUUGAUGUAUUUUGUAAUUGAGAUGAUUUAUGCCACAGUGCUGAAUUAACACAUCAUGACAAAGAUGUCGCCUUAAAAAGUAUGUUUGGUACCUGUGGGUCAAAUGUCUCAGGAGCUCCCUGACUGCAGAACGUCUCAGGAAAGGACUCAACUUUUUAUAUUGUAUGCAGGGUGCGAUUUGUCAGAAAACCAGAAAGGGGGAUGUGUUUCAGAUGUCAACAAUAUCAAUGGAGUUACAUUAAACUAUGAUUAAAAUCAUGUGGAAAAAGUGACAAUAUCAAAACCAGAAGAGGGGACAAUCCCCCUACAAACCGCACCCUGAUUGUAUGUAUUUUACAUGUUUGUCUAUAUGAUUAACACAUGUUCACAGAAGAAAAUACAAUGUACGACUGCAAGGUCUUGUGCGUUUUUCUCACCGAUAUCUUAAAGGUUUAUGCGUUACAAAAUGUUUAUUAUUUUGUUUAUUUUCUGAACUUUUUUUUUAAUAACUCAAAGGGAUAUGUUAAGAAACGUGUUUAUCAUUUGGUUUGUUUUUUUUUGGAAAAUUCCAUUUAAAACAUAUGAAGGGAUAUUUUAAGAAAGGCUGUGAGUUUAAAAAAAUGCAUUUUGAUCAUUUUGUUUUCUUUUCUGAAAAUUCUUGUUUAAAAUGUCAUACAUUUUCAAUUUCCAAAAUCUAUUGAAUGGAUGAAUGUUGUAGCCUACUAAAGAUAAUAAAUGGCCAAUUUGCAUGA